CAGAGGAGACCAUAUGAGUUUCCUUCAAUCUGUAGACCAAACUCCCAGAAAACUAGUAGACGCAUGAACAAGCAGCUUAUCGAACUCUCUGAACCUGGCAACAAUGUCGGCUCCUGCUUGGCCUUCGAAAAUCUCAAUAAAUUUUGGCUUGAGCUUCUCUAAGGAAUCAAACAUGUCUAAGAGCUUGAAGAGCUUUUGUGGCUCCUUGCUGCUCCUGGUAAUGCCUUCUUCGAAUCGAAAGAAGACUACUAUGAUUUUAUCUGUAAUUUUAAUAAAGCAUUCGAGCCAGAUGAAUCAAUCCACGAUUGAAAUCUCUCCCAACACUUGGUUGCAGAGUCUUUUUUCUGAAACGAAGACUGUUUUAACCGCCAGAUUAAAGUGUUGAAUCCAGAGAGAUAUUGAUUUCUCCAGAUUCUCCCACUCAAUUUCAUCUAUUUCUUCCGUGCAUAUGUUUAAAGAACCGGCAGUCUUGACAAAAGCUUUGAAGGGACACCAAAGAUUGUAAAGUCAGAGAAAGCUUCUGA